CCUACGGGAGGCAGCAGUGAGGAAUAUUGGUCAAUGGACGAGAGUCUGAACCAGCCAAGUAGCGUGAAGGAUGACUGCCCUAUGGGUUGUAAACUUCUUUUAUAUGGGAAUAAAAUGUUCCACGUGUGGGAUUUUGUAUGUACCAUAUGAAUAAGGAUCGGCUAACUCCGUGCCAGCAGCCGCGGUAAUACGGAGGAUCCGAGCGUUAUCCGGAUUUAUUGGGUGUAAAGGGAGCGUAGGUGGAUUGUUAAGUCAAUUGUGAAAGUUUGCGGAUCAACCGUAAAAUUGCAGUUGAAACUGGCAGUCUUGAGUACAGUAGAGGUGGGCGGAAUUCGUGGUGUAGCGGUGAAAUGCUUAGAUAUCACGAAGAACUCCGAUUGCGAAGGCAGUUCACUGGACUGCAACUGACACUGAGGCUCGAAAGUGUGGGUAUCAAACAGGAUUAGAUACCCCAGUAGUC
rnacentral:rRNA from 1 species